rnacentral:rRNA from 1 species
GUGGGGAAUUUUCCACAAUGGGCGAAAGCCUGAUGGAGCAACGCCGCGUGUGUGAUGAAGGUCUUCGGAUCGUAAAGCACUUUCGACUGGGACGAAACACCCUUGGCUAACACUCAAGGGCUUGACGGUACCAGGAGAAGAAGCACCGGCUAACUCUGUGCCAGCAGCCGCGGUAAUACAGAGGGUGCAAGCGUUGUUCGGAAUUAUUGGGCGUAAAGCGCGUGUAGGCGGCAUAGCAAGUCGGGUGUGAAAGCCCUCAGCUUAACUGAGGAAGUGCGCCCGAAACUGCUGUGCUUGAGUGCCGGAGAGGAUGGCGGAAUUCCCCAAGUAGAGGUGAAAUUCGUAGAUAUGGGGAGGAACACCGGUGGCGUAGGCGGCCAUCUGGACGGUAACUGACGCUGAGACGCGAAAGCGUGGGUAGCAAACAGGAUUAGAUACCCUAGUAGUCC